AGUGAUCAAGUGAGGAGCAUUGGUUUGGACACAGAUUGAAGGGCAGGCCCCAUGAGGGAUAGAAUGAAUUCAAAGACAGCAAAUGCGGCAAAACCAGAAUACUCAUCUUGACUUUUCCAUGCAGCAAGUUUUCAUUAAAAAUAAAGGAAAAUAAAUACAGAUCACAUUUUCUGUCCUGCAGUUAAAAGCC